UUAUAUAUAUAAUAUACAUAUUAUAUUUAUAGGAAAGUCAUAAAUAUACAAAUUAAAAUAUAUCUAUAUUUUAUAAUAAAGUAAUUAAUAUAAAUAAUAAAUAUAAUCUUAUUUCCCCCCCCUUAUUUUGUUUGUGGGGAGUUGGGGGAUAAGUAAGUAUAUAAUUAUACUUAAUUUUGUUAUUAACAUAUAACAAAAUAUAUAUGGAAAUUAAAAGCUUAAUAUAUAUAUAUCAUAAUAUUAAUAUUUCUUUAAUACCUUUCAUACGUAUAAAGGAAAAAAUUAAACUAUUAAAGAGAUAAAUAUGAGUGAAAUAUAUAGUAAUAUAUCACAAUUUAACCUAUCUUCCCCAUCCCAUGUAUUAUAAAAAUGUUUAUAAAAGGAAAGGUAAAAAAAAUAUAAUUACUAUACAAAAAUAUGCUUAAAUAUAUAAUAUAUAUAUUAUAUAUAUAA
rnacentral:rRNA from 1 species